rnacentral:rRNA from 1 species
AUACGGAGGGUGCGAGCGUUGUUCGGAAUUAUUGGGCGUAAAGAGCAUGUAGGCGGUCUGUUAAGUCUGGUGUGAAAGCCCGGGGCUCAACCCCGGAAGUGCAUUGGAUACUGGCAGACUUGAGUAUGGGAGAGGAAAGCGGAAUUCCGAGUGUAGGAGUGAAAUCCGUAGAUAUUCGGAGGAACACCAGUGGCGAAGGCGGCUUUCUGGACCAAUACUGGCGCUGAGAUGCGAAAGCGUGGGGAGCAAACAGGAUUAGAAACCCCAGUAGUCC